AAAAAUGUAAAGAUAUUAUUACCAAUUUUCAGAUUUUUGACAGAAGUACAAUGGCAACAACGAGAAUCAGAAGAAAGAAAAAAAGUCAUAAACAUCAACUCGACCUAAUCUAGAAGGAACCGACACAACAAGCAAAACUGCUACUCAGAGGCCCCAACCAGUCCGCACUAACAUCUUGCCGCAAAUGGAAGAGCCACAGUUAUUUCGAAAGACAGAACCCGGUAAUUUUGGGCUCCCCGAUGAUCCGCUCUUUAUGAUCUGACUCUUCGAAGAACAUCUCGCUGCAGACGUCCUGAGUAUCCACCAACAUGAACAGACAGCCUCACCAGAGGUCAAGCACACCCACAUCGACCAGACUGAGUGUUAUUUGACGGAAAUAGCCUCCGAGGAUGGCCACACGACAAGAACAAUACCAAAAAGACAGAGAGAUCAGCACCACCAAUAAAGGUGUACAUGAGGCAUCCCAAGAUCAAACCUCUGAAGCGGACCGGCUCCAUACGCGUCGCCACCGAGUAGGAGAGUCGUGGUUGACAAGACCAACUUCUAACCUCCUCACGCGCACCCACAAUGGAGAACCCGCAGGGUAUCUUUUGAACCAGACUUGACGCAUCCCCAAAAGAGCUAUCCAUGAUUAUUCAUAUAUACACAAAGAACCUGAAAUAGAAAGAAAACGGGCUGGUGUUUCAAAAAAAAAAAGAAAGAAAACGGGCCAGAGAGAGCCGCUGAAUACUGCCCGGACUGAGCUCAAAGGACAUGCACAAAAGAGAUUAGAGAGGCAGCACAACCAUAGCUAUCAAAGACAGAUAUAGCUCCUGGGAAAUGCUUUCCCUCCGUACAGUACCACCAAGGAGACGCAAAGUUCACUGACCACCCGAACCCGCCAACUCCAAUGCUGUACGCUCUCAGCGAGAACCGAAGAGGAGUAAUCGAUUGUUGUCCAAUUGCUAAAACCAGUGGUAACGGAAACAGCCUCAGAGAAGAACACACCAACUCAAACCACCUAGAGCUUGUCGACUAAGCUCUGAAAAUGGUGUCUGAAGCAGAUUCCGGGAAGCGAACAACCAGAUGAAAGGGAGGCCAGUAAUAUCGCACGAGACUGCCCCAGACGACAGCGACGAUCCACGACACCACAAGCUACCACGCGCCAGCACCUGUAGACCCAACACACGCCGGCGUCGAAGGCUGAGCACACUCUUGAGAAAAUCGAAACUCCAAGACUUUCAAGUUGUCGACUUUAGAGGAGGCAUUUCAUCGAGACACCAUGACGAAACCACCAACCAAUACUCGACUCCACUCCACGACAAACCAGACGUAAUGGAUCUUCGAACCCACAGCCCAGAUCUGAAACGAAAGCCUAGUGUCUUCCUCCACGCGCCGCUAACACUACCAGUGGAAACAAAGUAAAAUCACCCACCAGCAAACCUUAAACGCCGACUCCAGCAAUCGCAAAACCCUCCACCUCCGUGCCGAGCCUCCAAAACCAGUAGAACAGAGCCGGACGUGUCUCCUCACACGAGAAACCCACGCCGGAAACUCUCCAGAGACAGAGAGCUCGAGCAAGACAAAGGGAAGGAGAUGAGACGAUGAUGAAGCAAAUCGAAAAAGAGAGGGGAAAAGGAGACGCACGGUGCCUCCGGCGCCGGAACGCGCUCUCACACGCGGCCGGACGCCGGAGCGUUAUCAAUUUCGCUUAAGAGAGUCUCGAGAGAUGAGAUGAGAGAGAAGCUGAGGUUUCAAGUUUUUUCUCGGACUGUGAC
rnacentral:lncRNA from 1 species